UUCAAUUUUUGAAUAUAAUAAAAAGUUUUAGUUUUAGGAAAAAGAUAAAAAUACAUAAACUUUUUCCCCCUAAUUUGCAUGUGUGACAUCAGUAUCAUAGUAAUAAAAUUUUCUUAGUCAACACUUAAAAAAGCAUAUUAGGGCUAUUUUCUGUUAAAAUAAUAGUUUCAGAUUCAGUUGAACUGUGAGAAAAUAGAACAGAAGAA
rnacentral:misc_RNA from 1 species